GGGGCUGUACUGGUUUUGACAGCGUAUGUUGCGGUAGGUGUAAGCAUGCAGUGCGUUGGAUAAUUAGCACUUUAAUCUGAAUAUUCAAAUUUCAAAUGGCAAUACUUCGUAUGCCAUGGCUGCCUAAUCAGUGAUUAGAUAGUCAUUAGGGCCGCUAGAGCAGGUUGGUCUGUUACCAAGCUCCGCCGCCGACUCAAAACAAAUACAGAAUGCUGUAGUGGAAGGCUGUGACUACUGCAAAAGACUAUACAGCUAAGCGUAAGGUUGGUUUGUUCAUUUCCUGCUUUAUGCCGACAAUUAAUAAUGAAAUAAGCAUGUAGAAAGCUUAUGGUAAUGACGUUUGGACAGGGGUUCGACUCCCCUCUGCUCCACCA
rfam:Filimonas lacunae strain DSM 21054 genome assembly, contig: Ga0111651_111